ensembl:lncRNA
GCUGUUUUCCUUCACCUGUUACGGUAAGAAACUCAAGUUUUAAUCUCAUGAGUUGAUAUUUUCACAAACGUAAAAGAAAAGUACUUAAUGAACUAUUGUUGAUUUGUGGUCAUGUGCUUUGCAGUGUAUUUCAACACCAAUCAAUGGUAAGUUAAAUAUUGUAAUUAAGCUGUAAAGUACUGUAGAGAAACAACAUAAUGCACUGUCAAUUCAAAUAUAUACUCUUGUCUGUUUUUCUUAUUUUCCUUCUUUUACAGAAACCUCAAUUUGUGAUGGGAUCAGCAGGUAGUGUUCAUUAUGGCCUUUUAACUGAAAAUUAUAUUUGUGUCAAGUAAAUCAAAAUAAUGAGAAGAGUUUAUCUGGCCCACAGUAAUGAGACUCUGCUGUCCGCUGGACUCGUGAGCGCCCCCUGUAGUGUGGACCUGCAGCAGUGCGCUUGCUCUUCGGUAAGAAGACCACAAGCAGAAAACUCAUCGUCUGGGAAUCUGUGUCUCUCCAGAUGUGCAGCUGUUUCUGGAAUCGGCAUAAUAGUUCCUGAACGUUGAUGUCCACUGCUGAAAUCUGUGUUUGUAGCUCACAGGCUUCACUGCUGGAAACCUGGCUGGACUCCUGAAGUGUCAACUAUCCAGCAGCAGAAGUUACUCCAAGGAGAUCUGGAAACUGCUUUUCACCAAAGCAAAUGAUGUUCUGGACGGAGCCCUCGUCAUCUUCUCCAGCGCAGCAGCAAAUAUGUCUCAGCCAAUCAGAGGUGAUGUCGUGUCCCAAGUGCUGGAUGUGAUUGGAGAGCUGAGACUGGAGCGCAUCAGUCCUGACCAAUGGCGAGACCUCCCUUUCAUCAGCAUGUUGUUGGGUCAAUAUCUGAAGCCGUUUUUACCGUUUGCGUCAUCAUCCCUACUGCUGUGCACUAGCAGCAAAAACCUCAGCUGCCAAACUUACCAGCACAUUCUGUCAGAGGUCACACUCGUCAAUGAGACUCAAGGAAGAAACAUGGUGAACUUCUUCAUUCUGCCCUUCCUCAGAAGAAACACAACAGAUGCGGGCUGUGUGUCGACUGCUAACAACAGUGUUGAGUGGCUGCAGAAGAACUUUGGCCCGUUCUCUCAGUUUGUGCCUCUCACAGAUCUGCUCUCCAUCAACAGACUCUUUGAUCCCGUAUGUCUCCACAUCUUCACAUGUGAUUUCAUCAAAGAAGAUUUAUACAAAUAA